UUAACGCGAAGGACCUUACCAGGUCUUGACAGGGUUCUUUCUGCCCUUCCUAGAGAUAGGAAUUUCCCCUUCGGGGGACAGGAGUGACAGGUGGUGCAUGGUUGUCGUCAGCUCGUGUCGUGAGAUGUUGGGUUAAGUCCCGCAACGAGCGCAACCCUUGAUCUUAGUUGCCAGCAUUCAGUUGGGCACUCUAAGGUGACUGCCGGUGACAAACCGGAGGAAGGUGGGGAUGACGUCAAAUCAUCAUGCCCCUUAUGACCUGGGCUACACACGUGCUACAAUGGAUGGUACAAAGGGCAGCAAAACCGCGAGGUUAAGCGAAUCCCAUAAAACCAUUCUCAGUUCGGAUUGCAGGCUGCAACUCGCCUGCAUGAAGCCGGAAUCGCUAGUAAUCGCGGAUCAGCAUGCCGCGGCUGAAUACGUUCCCGGGCCUUGUACACACCGA
rnacentral:rRNA from 1 species